rnacentral:rRNA from 1 species
UACGGAGGGGACUAGCGUUGUUCGGAAUUACUGGGCGUAAAGCGUGCGCAGGCGGUCUGUUAAGACAGAUGUGAAAUCCCCGGGCUUAACCUGGGAACUGCAUUUGUGACUGGCAGGCUAGAGUAUGGCAGAGGGGGGUAGAAUUCCACGUGUAGCAGUGAAAUGCGUAGAUAUGCGGAGGAACACCGAUGGCGAAGGCAAUCCCCUGGGCCUGCACUGACGCUCAUGCACGAAAAGCGUGGGGGA